rnacentral:rRNA from 1 species
UACGUAGGGGGGAAGCGUUACUCGGAAUUACUGGGCGUAAAGGGUGAGUAGGCGGCUGAGCAAGUCAAGGAUGAAAGCCCGAGGCUCAACUUCGGAAUUGUCCUUGAAACUGCUCAGCUUGAGGGUAGUUGAGGAGAGUGGAAUUCCCGGUGGAGCGGUGAAAUGCGUAGAUAUCGGGAGGAGCACCCGAGGCGAAGGCGGCUCUCUAAGCUAUUCCUGACACUGAAUCACGAAAGCUAGGGGAUCAAACGGG